rnacentral:lncRNA from 1 species
GAAAUGCGCGGACAAUGCCUGCCAUAGAGUUUCUUACAAUUACUUAGAGGGAACUUUGGCGCUGAGAUCGUUCAGCUACCAUGGGAAUGAUGGGUAGUACACUGAAUUGCCUAAACUUCGUGCUUCCGGCUUCCAACGCACUUGUGCAUUUGUUUAUUGUUGUGUUUUAGCGUUUGUAUCGGAUAAAACAAUGUAUCAUCGUGAACUUCGUGAGCCAAUUUGAAUUGGUGAGCCUAUAAAGGUUAAGGUGGGGAAGUAGAUCUGCUCAACAUUUGCUGAACUUCGUCAUGCGACAAAGCGGCUCCAGGCCACACGGAGCCAAACGAAGCCGAAAGAACGAAGCUCAGACAAAUCCGUGUACUACCCAUCAUUCCGAUGCUGGCUGA